UAAUACGUAGGGGGCGAGCGUUGUCCGGAAUUACUGGGCGUAAAGGGUGCGUAGGUGGCCUUUUAAGUUGGAUGUGAAAUACCCGGGCUUAACUUGGGGGGUGCAUCCAAAACUGGAAGGCUAGAGUGCAGGAGAGGAAAGCGGAAUUCCUAGUGUAGCGGUGAAAUGCGUAGAUAUUAGGAGGAACACCAGUGGCGAAGGCGGCUUUCUGGACUGUAACUGACACUGAGGCACGAAAGCGUGGGGAGCAAACAGG
rnacentral:rRNA from 1 species